rnacentral:lncRNA from 1 species
CCCUUUGGGACGCUCUUCAGUCAACGUAUUUAAGAUUUCCAGCAACUUCCCAGGAGUGGCUAAAGAUCGCUGCAGACAUGGAAGAAUUUUGGCACUUUCCCAAUUGCAUAGGUAGCAUCGACGGCAAACAUGUGCACAUCCAAUGCUCAGACAACUCAGGAUCGAGGAAUUUAAAUUAUAAGAAAACAUUCAGUGUUGUCCUCCUAGCUGUGUGUGAUGCACAUUACAAGUUCACCUAUGUAGACACUGGCCAUUACGGCGGUGAAGGUGACAGCGG